rnacentral:rRNA from 1 species
AGGGGGCAAGCGUUAUCCGGAUUUACUGGGUGUAAAGGGAGCGUAGGUGGCAGGACAAGUCAGAAGUGAAAGCCCGGGGCUUAACCGCGGGACUGCUUUUGAAACUGCCCGGCUGGAGUGCAGGAGAGGUAAGCGGAAUUCCUAGUGUAGCGGUGAAAUGCGUAGAUAUUAGGAGGAACACCAGUCGCGAAGGCGGCUUACUGGACUGUAACUGACACUGAGGCUCGAAAGCGUGGGGAGCAA